GGAGAGGUGCUGGAGUGGUUGAACAGGGCUGCCUGCUAAGCAGUUACACGGCCUAAAAGCUGUGUCGUGGGUUCGAAUCCCACCCUCUCCGCCA
rnacentral:tRNA from 1 species